rnacentral:rRNA from 1 species
CAGUAGCGUAUAUUAAAGUUGUUGCAGUUAAAAAGCUCGUAGUUGAAGUUUGGGCCUGGGCGGGCGGUCUACCUAUGGUGAGUACUGCUGCGGCCGGGUCUUUCCUUCUGGCUAGCCCUCGGGCGAACCAGGACGAUUACUUUGAGGAAAUUAGAGUGUUCAAAGCAGGCCUUUGCUCGGAUAUAUUAGCAUGGAAUAAUAGAAUAGGACGCAUGGUUCUAUUUUGUUGGUUUCUAGGACCAUCGUAAUGAUUAAUAGGGACGGUCGGGGGCAUCAGUAUUCAGUUGUCAGAGGUGAAAUUCUUGGAUUAACUGAAGACUAACUACUGCGAAAGCAUUUGCCAAGGACGUUUUCAUUAA